UAUAAAACAAAUUAUUAUAAUAAUACGUUCAAAUUUUUUCUUUUUACUACGGUAUACAACGUAUGGAAAACCUCGUGUCAUUGACACUGAAACCAAAUAAAAACUAAUAAAAAACUUGAAUGUUUUGAAAAUCAUACCACGUUCAGAAAGUAUCAAUAUAAAUAUUCGGUAAACAUUUUAUGUCUUCAUUAUUGUUUUUACUGGAAUAACAACAAAACAAGAUUUUAAAUAAUAAAAAUUGUUAUUGCGUACAUUUCCCUAGUUUUUUUUCAAUUAUUAAGAAAACUAUAUCAAAAAAAAUAAAACACCUUC